rnacentral:tRNA from 1 species
GCCUCAUGGAUUAACGAAACUAAGGUCGGACUGUUAAUCCGUAGGUCCCUGGUUCGAGCCCAGGUUGAGGAGCCA